rnacentral:lncRNA from 1 species
AAGCACUGGUGAACAUGGAAAAACCACACAGGACAGGAUAAGAACAUUAGCCAGCAAACCUAGCAAGGCAAAGAUUACAGAGAGCAUGAAAUGAAAAAUGUUAAGAUGUUCCUCUAACUUAUAUGUACUUAUACUAAAAGUGAAAAAAUGCAAGGCAUCAGAACCGCAAAAAUAUCAAAUGGUUGCACAACACCUUGAAAGAAAUUAACAAUCUAAUAAACUACAUCUGUGG